rnacentral:rRNA from 1 species
AGAGUUUGAUCCUGGCUCAGGAUGAACGCUGGCGGCGUGCCUAACACAUGCAAGUCGAGCGAGAAAUCUUGGACUGAAACUUCGGUCGAAGGAAGAGAUGGAAAGCGGCGGACGGGUGAGUAACGCGUAGACAACCUGCCCUUUGCAGAGGGAUAGCCAUUGGAAACGAUGAUUAAAACCUCAUAACACCGCACCUUCACAUGGAGGAGCGGCCAAAGAUUUAUCGGCAAAGGAUGGG